UGUAUAUGUACAUUUAGAUAAAAGAAGAUAUCAAAGGAAGUACGGAAGAUAAACCAACCAGACUUGCAGCACACUUUCAAACGAAAUAAAACAAGCAACAUACCUAAUAGCGACAUUACCCCUACAUAAGCAUCAAAUGUACCGUGCACAAACGAUGAAUCCAUGCCGCAUACAUCCAACGCAAAUCCUGAAUUGGACAACGAAAGAAACCAGUUGAACAGAAGCAUUACAGACCAGGCACAUCAUGAACCCGUCGACAAGAAUAAAUAUUUAAAGGAACAACAGCUCAUAUCGUUAAUAGAGGUAUCGAAACCUAAAUCCACUAUACACGGCGAAUUUUAUAAUAUAUUUUUGGCCAUUACGAUUAUUCUUCACCAAUUUAACAAAUCAACUAAUUAUCGAUAUGAAACCAAAACGAUCAAAACGAACAAACAAAAGAUCGAUUUUAUAGUUGCAGUGGAAGUAGGAGAAGCAGGAAAAUUCGACGACAUCCUGUUUUAUUUCUCAUCACCAAAAGGACUUUUCACUUUCUGCAUACAAGCGAAACAUAAAUUGAGUGCUGGGAAAACAACAAACCGUUACUUUUUUAUUAAAAAAAGGAUCUAUGCGCCACUAGUGGGUAAUUUUCGAUUCCCAUGUAUUUCUCGUCAUAUCUUAAGAUUAAUCAGAAACUAACAAAAGGUGAACCCGAUAUCCAAAAUGAUGAAUGUAGAACACGGUAUGUCAUAUGUACUAAUGCUGAUCUUCAUACUGACGUCAAAAGCUACUUUACGAAAACCGAUCCGGAAGAAGAUGAGAGUUUACAAUUUUGUGAAACUAUAGAAGCAACAUGUUAUAAAUUGCACGGUGAAAUACCCGAUCUGGUUAAUCAACUACUAAGCACCUACUUUACCUCUUUAGCUUGUAAUUUGUCAACUGUUGAUCCAACUCUCUAUAAUAUCAAGUUUAUCGCGAUGGAAUUUUCGACCGAUUUCAAACGGUUGAUAGAUAGCAAUGUAGAAAACCUAGACAGUACAGUUUCAAGCGAUAAAAUAGUACUGGAUGAAUCGAAGACUUAUAUGCUCUCCAUGCAAAAACUGAUCGAAAUGCGCUUGUUUCAGGAAAAGUUUAACCAUCAAAAGAUUGUGUUAAUCCUUGAUGGAUUUGAUGAGAUAGCACCAUGGUACAAGGAUGUGGUCCUGAACUAUUUCGCUCGAUUCUCUCAUCUUGAAGGAAUAAGAUCUUUAUUCCUGUCUAGUCGAUCUUACGGGUUUAAAGAUGAUUUGAAAAAAGCCUUCGAACAAUGUCGAAUGUAUGGGUUAACACCAUUUUCAGAGAAAGGUAUCCUGAUUUCUAUUCACAAAUUUCUUAACAACAAUUUAGAUGGUUACGAGCUUUACGAAAAGAAUCAUCAAAUUGAUAUACUCAAGAAGUUGUUUCAAAUAUUCAAAUAUCUAUUGGAAGAUAUAAUAAUAAUUCCACAUGGUUCAGAUUAUCUUCGAAAUUAUCUUUGCACACACGAUAUCGAAUCGGAUGUUGGACGAAACAAAAUUUGACAUACUUCAUCUGGUUGAAGAGUUUGUAGGCAGAAAGAUGAAAAUGUUA